rfam:Arabis alpina cultivar Pajares Aa.chr7_contig_3138, whole genome shotgun sequence.
UUAAGUAAUGUGACCUUGCUGUAAAUAUGGACAAAGAUUAAUACUUGUAGGCUUUUAGGUGGGCAUUAUAUCAGUUUUUGAUGCUCACAAAGGACCUUACAUAUAUAA